UAGUCCUAGCCGUAAACGAUGGACACUAGUUGUUGGAGGAGUCAAUCCCUUCAGUGACGUAGUUAACGCAUUAAGUGUCCCGCCUGGGGAGUACGCUCGCAAGGGUGAAACUCAAAGGAAUUGACGGGGGCCCGCACAAGCGGUGGAGCAUGUGCUUUAAUUCGAUGCAACGCGAAGAACCUUACCUGGAUUUGACAUGGGAAUGAAACCCUUUAGAGAUAGAGGGCCUCUCUUCGGAGACAUUCUACACAGGUGCUGCAUGGUUGUCGUCAGCUCGUGUCGUGAGAUGUUGGGUUAAGUCCCGGCAACGAGCGCAACCCCUGUCCUUAGUUGCCAUCAGGUAAUGCUGGGAACUCUAGGGAGACCGCCUGGUAUAACCAGGAGGAAGGUGGGGAUGACGUCAAAUCAUCAUGGCCCUUACGUCCCAGGGCUAGACACGUGCUACAAUGGCUGGUACAAUGGGCUGCGAACCUGCGAGGGUAAGCCAAUCCCUUAAAACCAGUCUCAGUCC
rnacentral:rRNA from 1 species